rnacentral:rRNA from 1 species
UACAGAGGGUGCAAACGUUGUUCGGAAUUACUGGGCGUAAAGGGCGCGUAGGCGGCCUGCUAAGUCGAACGUGAAAUCCCUGGGCUCAACCCAGGAACUGCGUCCGAUACUGGUUGGCUUGAAUCCGGGAGAGGGAUGUGGAAUUCCAGGUGUAGCGGUGAAAUGCGUAGAUAUCUGGAGGAACACCGGUGGCGAAGGCGACAUCCUGGACCGGUAUUGACGCUGAGGCGCGAAAGCCAGGGGAGCAAACGGG